rnacentral:rRNA from 1 species
GAUGAACGCUGGCGGCGUGCCUAAUACAUGCAAGUCGAGCGAACAGACGAGGAGCUUGCUCCUCUGACGUUAGCGGCGGACGGGUGAGUAACACGUGGAUAACCUACCUAUAAGACUGGGAUAACUUCGGGAAACCGGAGCUAAUACCGGAUAAUAUAUUGAACCGCAUGGUUCAAUAGUGAAAGACGGUUUUGCUGUCACUUAUAGAUGGAUCCGCGCCGCAUUAGCUAGUUGGUAAGGUAACGGCUUACCAAGGCAACGAUGCGUAGCCGACCUGAGAGGGUGAUCGGCCACACUGGAACUGAGACACGGUACAGACUCCGACGGGAGGCAGCAGUAGGGAAUCUUCCGCAAUGGGCGAAAGCCUGACGGAGCAACGCCGCGUGAGUGAUGAAGGGCUUCGGAUCGUAAAACGCUGUUAUUAGGGAAGAACAAAUGUGUAAGUAACUAUGCACGUCUUGACGGUACCUAAUCAGAAAGCCACGGCUAACUACGU